AUUUGGCCAGAUGGCUUCUCUGUUAAUUGCCAAGUGUCUGCCUUCACCUCCCUAACCGCCUAAACUUCCACCGGCGAUAUUACUCCUCCUUGUAUACCCCUUUUUCCGGCAAAUCUCUUUCAAAAUUUACGCAAAAAUGGGCAAGGAAUCAACGUUUCUCACAGCAGUACACUUGAAGAAGAAACCUAUGAAGAAACACACUACCACCAGACGGAAGCAAUUUUUCAACAAAGUUAUCGAUUAUCUCAAAUCUGAUACUUUCAUGUUUGCGCCUUUAUGUUCUUCCAGUUUCUCCUCCGGAAUUGAGGAAGAUAGUAAACCCUUGGAAGGGAAGGAUGAGAAAUUGGUUAGUAAAAUUGG
rnacentral:misc_RNA from 1 species